AACGCGAAGAACCUUACCUAAGCUUGACAUCCUUUUGACCUCUCCCUAAUCGGAGAUUUCCCUUCGGGGACAGAAGUGACAGGUGGUGCAUGGUUGUCGUCAGCUCGUGUCGUGAGAUGUUGGGUUAAGUCCCGCAACGAGCGCAACCCUUGCCUUUAGUUGCCAGCAUUAAGUUGGGCACUCUAGAGGGACUGCCAGGGAUAACCUGGAGGAAGGUGGGGAUGACGUCAAAUCAUCAUGCCCCUUAUGCUUAGGGCUACACACGUGCUACAAUGGGUGGUACAGAGGGCAGCCAAGUCGUGAGGCGGAGCUAAUCCCUUAAAGCCAUUCUCAGUUCGGAUUGUAGGCUGAAACUCGCCUACAUGAAGCUGGAGUUACUAGUAAUCGCAGAUCAGAAUGCUGCGGUGAAUGCGUUCCCGGGUCUUGUACACACCG
rnacentral:rRNA from 1 species